rnacentral:tRNA from 1 species
UGCCGGGUCGUCUAAGGGUAGGACGGCGGAUUUUGACUCCGCGAAUGCUGGUUCGAGCCCAGCCCCGGCAGCCA